rnacentral:rRNA from 1 species
UGGCGGACGGGUGAGGAAUACAUCGGAAUCUACUCUGUCGUGGGGGAUAACGUAGGGAAACUUACGCUAAUACCGCAUACGACCUACGGGUGAAAGCAGGGGACCUUCGGGCCUUGCGCGAUUGAAUGAGCCGAUGUCGGAUUAGCUAGUUGGCGGAGUAAAGGCCCACCAAGGCGACGAUCCGUAGCUGGUCUGAGAGGAUGAUCAGCCACACUGGAACUGAGACACGGUCCAGACUCCUACGGGAGGCAGCAGUU